rnacentral:tRNA from 1 species
AGUGAUAUGGUUCAGUGGUGGGGCACUUGCUUGGCAUGCAUGAGGCCCUAGGUUUGAUCCCUAGCACUG